GGAGUUUCCUGACUUUCAGAUUGAUAUCUACAAAGAAAAGAAAUAUUUACAAUCUGCUACGACGAAGACGAAUUCCAGACUGCAGAAAACGAGACAAGAAUUGGUGAAAAUUCAAGAUCAGAGAAAGGAAACGGAGACGGAAUUGAAUAGACUGAAAUCUGAAUGCGACACUUUGGAGAAACAGAUUAAGUGCAAGAAAGAGGCCUUUGAUUUUCUUCAUGAGUUUGGAAAUUUUCAAGAUGACUUGAGAAAAAGCGACAAGAGUCAUAAUAAAACGGAAUGUUGUGCCAACGACGAUCUGCCAACAUUAUUGUGUGAAGCAAGCGGUUACCUUUCAACAGAGAGACAGCUGAGAAAUAUCAACAAUAAAUUGCAAUCUUGGUUGGAUAACAAUAACAAAUAGACAGUGAAAGAUUUUGUGAUACUCAUGGUGGAUUGUCCUGUAUGGGGUAUUUUCAAGGGGUCGGCCUUUCAACAUUUGCAAAUGUUGAGCGUAUAACGGUUACUUGAAAUAUCAAGAAAACAUGCAGAUUAUGAAGUAAAACUCGAGGGAGCAAUGAGAUGGAAGGUCAGUUGAGGACUAGAGACGCGCUUGAAGGAUUUAAAAAUCGAGGUUUAAUUUUAAUUUCGAGGAAGAAAAUCUCUCUAAGCAAAGCCAAAGAAAGUAGAAAAAUUAUAUUUAACAAUCAUGUUUUAUACAUAUAUAAAUAUUUUGACAUAUUGUAUAUUCUGUAUCUGGUUAUUUGAAUGCACCUAUGUUCCGUUGUAGAGACGUUUGAGUUUACAAUUUUAAUCCUGCAUUGAGGCAGGGCGUAGCGAUAAAUUUUGUGGUCACGUGUGAUAUCGCUACGUUAUGCUUCC